rnacentral:rRNA from 1 species
CCUACGGGGGGCAGCAGUGGGGAAUAUUGCGCAAUGGGCGAAAGCCUGACGCAGCGACGCCGCGUGAGGGAUGAAGGUCUUCGGAUCGUAAACCUCUGUCAGCAGGGAAGAACGGUCACUGUGCUAAUCAGCAGUGAAUUGACGGUACCUGCAAAGGAAGCACCGGCUAACUACGUGCCAGCAGCCGCGGUAAUACGGAGGGUGCGGGCGUUAAUCGGAAUUACUGGGCGUAAAGCGCUCGUAGGCGGUCUGUGAAGUCAAGGGUGAAAGCCCCGCGCUCAACGUGGGAACUGCAUUUGAAACUGGAGAACUAGAGUGUGUGAGAGGAUAGUGGAAUUCCAGGGGUAGGAGUGAAAUCCGGAGAUAUCUGGAGGAACAUCAGUGGCGAAGGCGACUAUCUGGAACAUAACUGACGCUGAGGAGCGAAAGCGUGGGUAGCAAACAGGAUUAGAUACCCUAGUAGUC